rnacentral:rRNA from 1 species
CUUGGCGGCGAGUGGCGGACGGGUGAGUAAUAUAUCGGAACGUGCCCCCUAUCGGGGGAUAACUACUCUAAAGAGUGGCUAAUACCGCAUACGCCCUACGGGGGAAAGGGGGGGAUCGCAAGACCUCUCACUAUUGGAGCGGCCGAUAUCGGAUUUUCUAGUUGGUGGGGUAAAGGCUCACCAAGGCAACGAUCCGUAGCUGGUUUGAGAGGACGACCAGCCACACUGGGACUGAGACACGGCCCAGACUCCUACGGGAGGCGCAGUGGGGAAUUUUGGACAAUGGGGGAAACCCUGAUCCAGCCAUCCCGCGUGUAUGAUGAAGGCCUUCGGGUUGUAAAGUACUUUUGGCAGAGAAGAAAAGGUAUCUCCUAAUACGAGGUACUGCUGACGGUAUCUGCAGAAUAAGCACCGGCUAACUACGUGCCAGCAGCCGCGGUAAUACGUAGGGUGCAAGCGUUAAUCGGAAUUACUGGGCGUAAAGCGUGUGUAGGCGGUUCGGAAAGAAAGAUGUGAAAUCCCAGGGCUCAACCUUGGAACUGCAUUUUUAACUGCCGAGCUAUAGUAUGUCAGAGGGGGGUAGAAUUCCACGUGUAGCACUGAAAUGCGUAGAUAUGUGGAGGAAUACCGAUGGCGAAGGCAGCCCCCUGGGAUAAUACUGACGCUCAGACACGAAAGCGUGUGGAGCAAACAGGAUUAGAUACACUGGUAGUCCACGCCCUAAACGAUGUCAACUAGCUGUUGGUGCCGUUAGGCCUUAGUAGCGCAGCUAACGCGUGAAGUUGACCGCCUGGUGAGUACGGUCGCAAGAUUAAAACUCAUAGGAAUUGACGGCGACCCGCACAAGCGGUGGAUGAUGUGGAUUAAUUCGAUGCAACGCGAAAAACCUUACCUACCCUUGACAUGUCUGGAGAGCCGAAGAGAUUUGGCCGUGCUCGCAUGAGAACCUCAACACAGGUGCUGCAUGGGUGUCGUCACCUCGCGUCCCGAGAUAUUGGGU